UUAGAGUUUGNAUCCUGGCUCAGAUUGAACGCUGGCGGCAGGCCUAACACAUGCAAGUCGAGCGGUAGAGAGAAGCUUGCUUCUCUUGAGAGCGGCGGACGGGUGAGUAAUGCCUAGGAAUCUGCCUGGUAGUGGGGGAUAACGUUCGGAAACGGACGCUAAUACCGCAUACGUCCUACGGGAGAAAGCAGGGGACCUUCGGGCCUUGCGCUAUCAGAUGAGCCUAGGUCGGAUUAGCUAGUUGGUGAGGUAAUGGCUCACCAAGGCGACGAUCCGUAACUGGUCUGAGAGGAUGAUCAGUCACACUGGAACUGAGACACGGUCCAGACUCCUACGGGAGGCAGCAGUGGGGAAUAUUGGACAAUGGGCGAAAGCCUGAUCCAGCCAUGCCGCGUGUGUGAAGAAGGUCUUCGGAUUGUAAAGCACUUUAAGUUGGGAGGAAGGGCAGUUACCUAAUACGUGAUUGUUUUGACGUUACCGACAGAAUAAGCACCGGCUAACUCUGUGCCAGCAGCCGCGGUAAUACAGAGGGUGCAAGCGUUAAUCGGAAUUACUGGGCGUAAAGCGCGCGUAGGUGGUUAGUUAAGUUGGAUGUGAAAUCCCCGGGCUCAACCUGGGAACUGCAUUCAAAACUGACUGACUAGAGUAUGGUAGAGGGUGGUGGAAUUUCCUGUGUAGCGGUGAAAUGCGUAGAUAUAGGAAGGAACACCAGUGGCGAAGGCGACCACCUGGACUGAUACUGACCACUGAGGUGCGAAAGCGUGGGAGCAA
rnacentral:rRNA from 1 species